GAUGAAGAACGUAGCGAAAUGCGAUAAGUAAUGUGAAUUGCAGAAUUCAGUGAAUCAUCGAAUCUUUGAACGCACAUUGCGCCCGCCAGUAUUCUGGCGGGCAUGCCUGUUCGAGCGUCAUUACAACCCUCAGGCCCCCGGGCCUGGCGUUGGGGAUCGGCGGAGCCCCCCGUGGGCACACGCCGUCCCCCAAAUGCAGGGGCGGUCCCGCCGCAGCUUCCAUCGCGUAGUAGCUAACACCUCGCGACUGGAGAGCGGCGCGGCCACGCCGUAAAACACCCAACUCUUCUGAAGUUGACCUCGAAUCAGGUAGGAAUACCCGCUGAACUUAAGCAUAUCAAUAAGCGGAGGA
rnacentral:misc_RNA from 1 species